rnacentral:tRNA from 1 species
UAGCUCAGUCAGUUGAGCAUGGCGCUAACAAGGCCAAGGUCACGGGUUCAAUUCCCAU